AGAUUGAACGCUGGCGGCAUGCCUUACACAUGCAAGUCGAACGGCAGCACGGGGGCAACCCUGGUGGCGAGUGGCGAACGGGUGAGUAAUGCAUCGGAACGUGCCCAGUAGUGGGGGAUAACUAGUCGAAAGAUUAGCUAAUACCGCAUACGACCUACGGGUGAAAGCGGGGGAUUCGCAAGAACCUCGCGCUAUCGGAGCGGCCGAUGUCUGAUUAGCUAGUUGGCGGGUAAAGCCCACAAGGCUUCGAUCAGUAGCUGGUCUGAGAGGACGACCAGCCACACUGGGACUGAGACACGGCCCAGACUCCUACGGGAGGCAGCAGUGGGGAAUUUUGGACAAUGGGACGCGUAAGGCCUGACUCCAGCCAUGCCGCGUGCGGGAAGAACGGCCGUUCGGUACGUAAACCGCGUUUUAGGCGUAAGGAACGAAACGGCGACGUAGCAAAUAUCGUCGCGUUAA
rnacentral:rRNA from 1 species